rfam:Aedes albopictus isolate Foshan contig75744, whole genome shotgun sequence.
UAGCCUAGUGGUUAAGGCUUCGGAUCGCCAAUCCGGAGACGGCGGGUUCGAUUUCUGU